ensembl:rRNA 5S_rRNA 5S ribosomal RNA
CCUGUCAGAAUGGCUAUUCUGAAUAAAUCAAAAACCAACAAUUCGAUCUUGUCUGAUCUUGGAAGCUAAGCAGGGUCGGGCUUGGUUAGUACUUGGAUAGGAGACCACCUAGGAAUACAAGGUGCUACAGGC